AUAGAUUCUACCUUCUUGUAACGUUUCAGCCUGAUUGGACCUUGUUUUCACACAAAUUAACCAUAGACUGUACAUAUACUGGACAAACGGAUUCCAUUGGCUUCAAUAACACGUUUGUUGUCUAUAAUGGGAGGUGGCCACCACCGCCAUUUUGACCGUGUCACAGGUUCCGUCCAGCCCAGACAAUUCCAUAAAAGGGAAGAGAGGAGGCGCUGAGGGUGUGGCUGUAAGGCUGGGCUCGAGUGACGACACCCAGGCGAACUAGCUACGAGCUAACCUGAAGCUAACCCUGGCUAACCCAAAGCUAAAGCGGAGGUGGGAGCCGAGCUAACGGAUGUAGCCACCUAGCUUCAACCCAACCGGAGCUAACUGGAACACCCAUCGACCUGAACCUUACACGGAGUUUAGGUGGAGGUUUUCUGCGCCUGUUCGUGAGAAGUACCUGUAUUACAAAAGUUUUAAAUCGAUCUGUUUAAAUGUCACCAUGGCAGCCUGUGUGUCUCCAACAUCAGCUACACAAAGCAAGUCCAUUUGGAUCAUUGGAGACAGCUGAGUGAGGCGUGGUGCCCAGAGAGCUGCAGAGACAACCUUGGCCUCCCUGACGUCUGUGUCUCCUGGUUCGGUUGGGGCGGACCAUCGACAUACAUACAUGUGCCGACACUUUGCGCCCUGUUUUAUAAACUGUAGUGUUAAAAAUAAAUGUUUUUGCUCAA